UGAGCUAUUUUCACCUAAUUCAACUACUGACGAACCUCUUAACUUGGUCAUCACAAUAGUGAACCCAAACUAUGGAAGCUUCAGGUGCCAAAAUUGCAGCGGUUCUCUUAAAUAUCGUGACACUAUUGUAGCUGAAGUUCCAAUUAAGGUAAAAUGGAUCCCUGCUCGUAGCACGAUUAAUGUGAGCACUUCUGCAGGAAUAAUGACCAGAAAAAUGAUAUCUGAACCAAAGUUUUGGUCAGAUGUUGAAGCUGGGAGCUUGAAUUUGACACCAAAGGCAACACUUCGUGGGAAAGUGCAGUUGCUCAAGGUUUUGAAGUUGAAGGCCACGAUUUAUGUGUCAUGUGCUCUCUGUUUUAAUAUAAGUUCCAUUAGUGCUGAUUCCAGCUGCAUAUCCAAAAUCAAGGUGUGAUUAAUUGUUAGUUUGGGUGGGAGGUACAUGUUCUUGUUCAAAUAUAUAGUAUAUAUAUAUAUUUUUUGAACAGUUCAAAUAUAUAUAUAUAUAUAUAUAUAUAUAUUUUUGAACAGUUCAAAUAUAUAGUUGCCUCAAUAAGUUGAAUUAGUAGGCACUUGGUUAAGAAAAAUAAAUAAAUAAAUAGGAGGGGGUGGGGGAAGGCAUGUUAUUUGCUUUCCUCUCAAAUUGUACCUUUUUCUUACUCUUCAUUUUAGAUUUAAUUGCCAUCUAUUUAUUUGCAAGGAACUAGAUGUUUUCUGUGACAUUGAAGAAUAUGCCAGAUUAUUACAGUCCACUGUCCACAAGUGAUAGCAGCUUUUCUUUUACAGGAUGCAUAAAAGAAUAAUGAAAAAGAGAUCACAAGUAAUCACCUUAAAAAUAAGAUGUUCAUCUUUAGUCCAAAGUGAACUAAUGGCUGAAGGAGGUUGAUAGUAAAUGAACAAACUAUUAGAAGCACUAGCACCCUUUUUAGCUAAGAAAUAUGCCACCGCAUUAUCUUUUUGUAGAGUGUGAUGCAAUAGCAGCUAAUUAUGUGUAUGGACAUUAAUUUUUCUUAAAAAGAAUUAAAAUAAACAAUAAAUUUAUUUGUGUAAAUUUC
rnacentral:lncRNA from 1 species